CAGUCGAGCGGACAGAAGGGAGCUUGCUCCCGGAUGUUAGCGGCGGACGGGUGAGUAACACGUGGGUAACCUGCCUGUAAGACUGGGAUAACUCCGGGAAACCGGAGCUAAUACCGGAUAGUUCCUUGAACCGCAUGGUUCAAGGAUGAAAGACGGUUUCGGCUGUCACUUACAGAUGGACCCGCGGCGCAUUAGCUAGUUGGUGGGGUAAUGGCUCACCAAGGCGACGAUGCGUAGCCGACCUGAGAGGGUGAUCGGCCACACUGGGACUGAGACACGGCCCAGACUCCUACGGGAGGCAGCAGUAGGGAAUCUUCCGCAAUGGACGAAAGUCUGACGGAGCAACGCCGCGUGAGUGAUGAAGGUUUUCGGAUCGUAAAGCUCUGUUGUUAGGGAAGAACAAGUGCGAGAGUAACUGCUCGCACCUUGACGGUACCUAACCAGAAAGCCACGGCUAACUACGUGCCAGCAGCCGCGGUAAUACGUAGGUGGCAAGCGUUGUCCGGAAUUAUUGGGCGUAAAGGGCUCGCAGGCGGUUUCUUAAGUCUGAUGUGAAAGCCCCCGGCUCAACCGGGGAGGGUCAUUGGAAACUGGGAAACUUGAGUGCAGAAGAGGAGAGUGGAAAUUCCACGUGUAGCGGUGAAAUGCGUAGAGAUGUGUAGGAACACCAGUGGCGAAGGCGACUCUCUGGUCUGUAACUGACGCUGAGGAGCGAAAGCGUGGGGAGCGAACAGGAUUAGAUACCCUGGGUAGUCCACGCCGUAAACGAUGAGUGCUAAGUGUUAAGGGGGUUUCCGCCCCUUAGUGCUGCAGCUAACGCAUUAAGCACCUCCGCCCUGGGGAGUACGGUCGCA
rnacentral:rRNA from 1 species